AAAUCUAUUAUAUAUAUAAUGCUGCAGCAAGGACUUUGAUGAGCCAAAAAAUUCAUUACUUGCUGGGGGAAUUCGUGCGGACAUGCGUCAGAUUUGUGGACAAACAGAUUUGGUGUGUGGCAGCUGGUAUUGGUUUACACGAGCUUCACCCUUUCGUGUUGUGUUAGGACUCGCUGCUUGCCAAGUAAACUAAAGGGUGUAUUCAAUAUUGAAGAAUAUGCACCAAUAGUUAUGUUUUCUCUGUGUUGGUUGCUCGGUUAGUAUAAACAAUAUAAUUAGGGCCGCUCCUGUUCUACAUAAUUGAUUUCAAUCCCCCCGGACUUGAUGUUCGUGGCUCUUUAGUUAUAUUAGUCAAAUUGUUUGCUGUGAUAUGCUAACUCCUCCAAUAUUAUAUUCACUUCCUGGAAAUUUAAAGAACAUCUUGAGUUCUCAGUUCUUGCAGUUUUGCAAAACCAACCUUUUAACUUGUGGAAGUUGCCUCAUUAUACACAUUUUCUAAAAUGUGAAUAAUACGUAUCAAAUGAUCUUUACAGUAAUAUACUUGAUCAGCUUUACAACCUAUGAAGUCCAUCGUUUGCCUCCAGUGAUGCUCUGUCAUAUUGUUAUUUUGCUCUCUCAUAUUCUAUUCACUUUCUUUCUUAUUGUCCCUUUUUGAUAAAUAUCAAGUUCUCUAUUCAAGAAACAAGAAAUUUAAUUGUAGCCGAAUAAAUAGACACAUCAUUUCAUGCUUGGCAAUCGGGAUGUUUGACGCUAGGCAGUAUUAACAAGAGCUCAAGCUGGAGCUUACAUGGUUUAAUUAGAGCCUUCUUUUUAUUAGAAGUACAACCAUAUUCUUCCUUUUGUUUUAUAUUAGGGGCGCUUUUUCUAAUUAAUAUUGGAUUUCCUCUGUCAGUAUUUAUAGUACCGGAAACCGAUGCAUUUGUUUAUUUUUUCCUUAAAAGACUAUGUGAAGGUGGAGAAUUGCUAGAUCUUAUUUUGUCAAGGGGUAGAGGAUAUGCAGAGGACGAUGCUAAAACCAUUAUUGUGCAGAUACUAGGAGUGGUUGCCUUCUGUCAUCUACAAGGUGUUGUGCACCGUGAUCUGAAAUCGGAGAACUUUCUUUUCGCAGCAAGAGACGGGGAUGCCCCAUUGAAGAUCAUAGAUUUUGGCCUAUCUCAUUUCAGCAGGCCAGAUGAACACCUCAAUGAUAUUGUUGGCAGUGCAUACUAUGUCGCGCCUGAAGUGCUCCACAGAUCAUAUAGCAUUGAAGCUGAUAUUUGGAGUAUAGGUGUCAUAGCAUAUAUGCUCUUAUGUACCAUCUGCCCAGGCAACGAGGCAGGUACUGAGUUGCUGCUUUUUAACUACAGCUGAAAUGAUGUGGCUUCUCAAUCUUCUUCGUGAAUAUGAUGUUUCUUUAUUACUGUAUGUCAUACACCUAUUAUAUACCGUGAUAACUUAAAUGUCACCCAUCUUAGUGUAAAUCCUAUUUUUCAUUCUAGAAUGAAACAUUU